rnacentral:lncRNA from 1 species
AGCAAUAAUAAUUGCAGUCAUAAUCAUGCUACACUCAUUCUUAAACUAUAAUCAAAGAAUUCAUGAAAAUAUACUGAAACAGGGUCAAAAAUCAAUUUACCUAGCUAUAGAAUGUGUGGAAAAUUGAAUAUUUCCGGUUAAAAUGACCGAAAAUAGCUCGAAUGCUCAAAACCGAUACUGUUGGUGCGAACCUGGAUGGAACUGACGAGGACUGUGGCCGACAAAGCUAUUAGCGUCAUUAGGAAGGUCUAAUCGGCCGGUCUUUGGUUGAUCUUGCCGGAGAAUCGAAGAGAGGAGCUGCAGGAGACUGUGCCGAUCGGAAUAGCACAGCUCUCCUUUGCUGCGCCAGCGGAAACAGAGAGAAAAGGAAACUGGAGGUGGAGGAGUGGUGGUCGAAGGUGGAGGAGUGGUGGUUGAAGGCGCUGGUCUCAGGUGAUUGGAAAAACGAGAGAGGGAAGGAGGAGGGGGGGUCGCG